rnacentral:tRNA from 1 species
GGGCGAUUAGCUCAGGGGUAGAGCAAUGCCUUCACACGGCAGAGGUCACAAGUUCAAAUCUUGUAUCGCCCA